GUUUCAGCAGCCGCGGUAAUACGUAGGUGGCGAGCGUUGUCCGGAAUUACUGGGCGUAAAGGGCGCGUAGGCGGUUCUUUAAGUUAGAUGUGAAAACCCGAGGCUUAACUUCGGGAGUGCAUUUAAAACUGAAGGGCUUGAGUGCAGGAGAGGUAAGUGGAAUUCCUAGUGUAGCGGUGAAAUGCGUAGAUAUUAGGAGGAACACCAGUGGCGAAGGCGACUUACUGGACUGUAACUGACGCUGAGGCGCGAAAGCGUGGGGAGCAAACAGGAUUAGAAACCCCUGUAGUCC
rnacentral:rRNA from 1 species